AACGAACGCUGGCGGCAGGCCUAACACAUGCAAGUCGAGCGCGUGCAGCAAUGCACGAGCGGCGCACGGGUGAGUAACGCGUGGGAAUCUGCCCUAUGGUGGGGGACAACCUCGGGAAACUGAGGCUAAUACCGCAUACGUCCUUCGGGAGAAAGACUUCGGUCGCCAUAGGAGGAGCCCGCGUCCGAUUAGCUAGUUGGUGAGGUAACGGCUCACCAAGGCGACGAUCGGUAGCUGGUCUGAGAGGACGGCCAGCCACACUGGGACUGAGACACGGCCCAGACUCCUACGGGAGGCAGCAGUGGGGAAUAUUGGACAAUGGGGGCAACCCUGAUCCAGCCAUGCCGCGUGAGUGAUGAAGGCCUUCGGGUUGUAAAGCUCUUUUGGCGGGGACGAUGAUGAUGGUACCCGCAGAAUAAGCCCCGGCUAACUUCGUGCCAGCCGCCGCAGUAA
rnacentral:rRNA from 1 species